UGUGGCAGCCGACGCGGUAAUACGAAGGGUGCAAGCGUUAAUCGGAAUUACUGGGCGUAAAGCGCGCGUAGGUGGUUUGGUAAGAUGGAUGUGAAAUCCCCGGGCUCAACCUGGGAACUGCAUCCAUAACUGCCUGACUAGAGUACGGUAGAGGGUGGUGGAAUUUCCUGUGUAGCGGUGAAAUGCGUAGAUAUAGGAAGGAACACCAGUGGCGAAGGCGACCACCUGGACUGAUACUGACACUGAGGUGCGAAAGCGUGGGGAGCAAACAGGAUUAGAUACCCCAGUAGUC
rnacentral:rRNA from 1 species